rnacentral:lncRNA from 1 species
CAGCGAUGUUGCGGCAGCUGGUGUCUCUGGUGUCACGGCGGCGACUUGUGUCUGGGCGCGGCUUCCGUGAAGCGCGCUCUGCUGAUGGUUUCUCGACUGGCGCUUACAAGCAGUGGUGUUGUGGGAGCUGGAUCGGCAGUGUUGACACUAUACACUAGUGGCUCUGCAGGCUCGGCGUGCGUGUCUUUCAGAGCUGCACUGACAAGGGAGGCGCAGACGGUUCUGCAAUAUUUAUAGGCACAUCUUCUACACUAUUAUGCUGGGGAUUUUUAGCUUUCUAGGCUUCGGCGGUACGUAGAUGGCUUGAGUCACAGAUGUGAUCUUCAAGGGUGCUUUUUUUUUUUUAUAAAUAAACCGGCACCUCCUGGCUGCA